GUGAACACAUUUUCUACCAGAAAGCUUACUCCGAUAUACACGAUGUAGACCUUUUUCUGAAAUGAAAUUUUCUUAGGGUGAUACUUAAGGGAGAUAAUUUUUUCGAUUUUUCCGGCAGUUUUCCCAACAAAAAAGAAAAAGUGAGAAAAACCGGGAAAGUGUACGAAAUACUCGUAUUUCAGUAAAAUAUCAUGGUUUUUUUUUUUUUCUGUGGACAACUUUUCUACAAUUCUAGCAGUUUUGCUCCGAUUUACAUUGAUAGUACUUUUUCUAAAAGAAAAUCUGAUUGGAGAGGUAAUUUAAUGAUUUUAUUUUUCG